AACUUGCGGCAAUGGAUCUCUUGGUUCUGGCAUCGAUUAAGAACGCAGCGAAAUGCGAUAAGUAAUGCGAAUUGCAGAAUUCCAGUGAGUCAUCGAAUCUUUGAACGCACAUUGCGCCCUUUGGUAUUCCGAAGGGCAUGCCUGUUCGAGCGUCAUUAUCACCCCUCAAGCCCCGUGCUUGGUGUUGGAUGGCCGGUCGAGGUUCGCCCCGACCCCUCCUAAAGACAAUGACGGCGACCUGUGGUUCCCCCGGUACACUGAGCUUUUCGCAGAGCACGUACCGGACGAGGGCGCCCGGGUCACGGUCCCCUCCUCCUCGUGAGGAAAUAUUUUUCAAGGUUGACCUCGGAUCAGGUAGGAAUACGCGCUGAACUUAAGCAUAUCAAUAAGCGGAGGGCU
rnacentral:misc_RNA from 1 species